GAGACUGCCGGCUUUCCUGAGCGCUUCACGCUAGAGCUUGAAGGUGCAGAAGCUGUCACAAGACUGGUUGCCCAACGAAAUGGUUUAAAAUAUGUUAUGAAGCCUCCAAGGAGUGUAAGACCUGAAGAGUUCGCUUUGCUGAGUGAAGCCUGUGAGAGGACGACUACAGAACCAUGAGGCCCACUUGGACCAAGCGGUGACGUCAGAGAAGGGAAGCCACCUCACAGCAGCAUGUGGGGAAGGAAGCAGUUGCCAAGGGAGCAGGUGACAUCAUGGGGAGGGAGGCAAAUCAGCUCCCUUGGUGCUUG